rnacentral:rRNA from 1 species
UACGGAGGGUGCAAGCGUUGUCCGGAAUCACUGGGCGUAAAGGGCGCGUAGGCGGCUCAUGAAGGCUGUGGUGAAAGUCCGGGGCUCAACCUCGGAUCGGCCGUGGCGACUCGUGGGCUGGAGCACUGUAGAGGCGGGUGGAAUUCCGGGUGUAGCGGUGGAAUGCGUAGAGAUCGUAAGGAAGGCCAGUGGCGAAGGCGAGUUCCUGGACAGUGACUGACGCUGAGGCACGAAGGCCAGGGGAGCAAACGGG